rnacentral:tRNA from 1 species
GAGGGUAUAGCUCAGUGGCAGAGUGCUUGCUUAGCAUGCCUGAGGUCCUGGGCUCAAUCCUCGGUACCUCCA